rnacentral:rRNA from 1 species
UAAGCGGAGGAAAGGAAACCAACAGGGAAUUGCUCUAGUAACGGCGAGUGAAGCAGCAAUAGCUCAAAUUUGAAAUCUGGCGUCUUCGACGUCCGAGUUGUAAUUUGUAGAGGAUGCUUCUGAGUAACCACCGACCUAAGUUCCUUGGAACAGGACGUCAUAGAGGGUGAGAAUCCCGUAUGCGGUCGGAAAGGUGCUCUAUACGUAGCUCCUUCGACGAGUCGAGUUGUUUGGGAAUGCAGCUCUAAAUGGGAGGUAAAUUUCUUCUAAAGCUAAAUAUUGGCCAGAGACCGAUAGCGCACAAGUAGAGUGAUCGAAAGAUGAAAAGCACUUUGGAAAGAGAGUUAAAAAGCACGUGAAAUUGUUAAAAGGGAAGGGAUUGCAACCAGACUUGCUCGCGGUGUUCCGCCGGUCUUCUGACCGGUCUACUCGCCGCGUUGCAGGCCAGCAUCGUCUGGUGCCGCUGGAUAAGACUUGAGGAAUGUAGCUCCCUCGGGAGUGUUAUAGCCUCUUGUGAUGCAGCGAGCGCCGGGCGAGGUCCGCGCUUCGGCUAGGAUGCUGGCGUAAUGGUCGUAAUCCGCCCGUCUUGAAACACGGACCAAGGAGUCUAACAUCUAUGCGAGUGUUCGGGUGUCAAACCCCUACGCGUAAUGAAAGUGAACGGAGGUGAGAACCGCAAGGUGCAUCAUCGACCGAUCCUGAUGUCUUCGGAUGGAUUUGAGUAAGAGCAUAGCUGUUGGGACCCGAAAGAUGGUGAACUAUGCGA